rnacentral:misc_RNA from 1 species
CUGUACUUCCGGUAAGUCGUAGUCGAGCCUCUGCCGCCUGCCCUGCGAAAGCGAGGCCGCGCGGCGGGGGUGGGAUUUCGUCUACCGCCUCUUCAACUCGCCGCAGAGGACACCACACCCGUGGUGGCCAACACGGUCGAGGCGAAGUAACCCUUGCCUAUGAGUACCUUUUCGUUCCCUCGGCGGGCUCGCGCUCGCCGCUGGGCCCAUCCAUACCCCUUUGCAGUAGUCGUAUACCUCUGAUCGUGGGCACUUGAAUCUUUA